rnacentral:rRNA from 1 species
UGGGGAAUAUUGGGCAAUGGGCGCAAGCCUGACCCAGCAACGCCGCGUGAGGGAAGAAGGUCUUCGGAUUGUAAACCUCUGUCCUUGGGGACGAAAAAAAUGACGGUACCCAAGGAGGAAGCUCCGGCUAACUACGUGCCAGCAGCCGCGGUAAUACGUAGGGAGCGAGCGAUGUCCGGAAUUACUGGGCGUAAAGGGUGCGUAGGUGGCUUGGCAAGUCAGAUGUGAAAUCCCCGGGCUUAACUCGGGAUCUGCAUUUGAAACUGCUGAGCUUGAGUGCAGGAGAGGAAAGCGGAAUUCCUAGUGUAGCGGUGAAAUGCGUAGAUAUUAGGAGGAACACCAGUGGCGAAGGCGGCUUUCUGGACUGUAACUGACACUGAGGCGCGAAAGCGUGGGGAGCAAACA